CUAACUACGUGCCAGCAGCCGCGGUAAUACGUAGGUGGCAAGCGUUGUCCGGAAUUAUUGGGCGUAAAGCGAGCGUAGGCGGUUUCUUAAGUCUGAUGUGAAAGCCCCCGGCUCAACCGGGGAGGGUCAUUGGAAACUGGGAAACUUGAGUGCAGAAGAGGAAAGUGGAAUUCCAUGUGUAGCGGUGAAAUGCGCAGAGAUAUGGAGGAACACCAGUGGCGAAGGCGACUUUCUGGUCUGUAACUGACGCUGAUGUGCGAAAGCGUGGGGAUCAAACAGGAUUAGAUACCCUGGUAGUCCACGCCGUUUUUUUAUGAGUGCUAAGUGUUAGGGGGUUUCCGCCCCUUAGUGCUGCAGCUAACGCAUUAAGCACUCCGCCUGGGGAGUACGACCGCAAGGUUGAAACUCAAAGGAAUUGACGG
rnacentral:rRNA from 1 species